UUAAGCGACUAAGCGUACGACGGUGGAUGCCCUGGCAGUCAGAGGCGAUGAAGGACGUGCUAAUCUGCGAUAAGCGUCGGUAAGGUGAUAUGAACCGUUAUAACCGGCGAUUUCCGAAUGGGGAAACCCAGUGUGUUUCGACACACUAUCAUUAACUGAAUCCAUAGGUUAAUGAGGCGAACCGGGGGAACUGAAACAUCUAAGUACCCCGAGGAAAAGAAAUCAACCGAGAUUCCCCCAGUAGCGGCGAGCGAACGGGGAGGAGCCCAGAGCCUGAAUCAGUGUGUGUGUUAGUGGAAGCGUCUGGAAAGGCGCGCGAUACAGGGUGACAGCCCCGUACACAAAAAUGCACAUGCUGUGAGCUCGAUGAGUAGGGCGGGACACGUGGUAUCCUGUCUGAAUAUGGGGGGACCAUCCUCCAAGGCUAAAUACUCCUGACUGACCGAUAGUGAACCAGUACCGUGAGGGAAAGGCGAAAAGAACCCCGGCGAGGGGAGUGAAAAAGAACCUGAAACCGUGUACGUACAAGCAGUGGGAGCACAGAGCAAUCUGUGUGUACUGCGUACCUUUUGUAUAAUGGGGUCAGCGACUUAUAUUCUGUAGCAAGGUUAACCGAAUAGGGGAGCCGAAGGGAAACCGAGUCUUAACUGGGCGUUAAGUUGCAGGGUAUAGACCCGAAACCCGGUGAUCUAGCCAUGGGCAGGUUGAAGGUUGGGUAACACUAACUGGAGGACCGAACCGACUAAUGUUGAAAAAUUAGCGGAUGACUUGUGGCUGGGGGUGAAAGGCCAAUCAAACCGGGAGAUAGCUGGUUCUCCCCGAAAGCUAUUUAGGUAGCGCCUCGUGAAUUCAUCUCCGGGGGUAGAGCACUGUUUCGGCAAGGGGGUCAUCCCGACUUACCAACCCGAUGCAAACUGCGAAUACCGGAGAAUGUUAUCACGGGAGACACACGGCGGGUGCUAACGUCCGUCGUGAAGAGGGAAACAACCCAGACCGCCAGCUAAGGUCCCAAAGUCAUGGUUAAGUGGGAAACGAUGUGGGAAGGCCCAGACAGCCAGGAUGUUGGCUUAGAAGCAGCCAUCAUUUAAAGAAAGCGUAAUAGCUCACUGGUCGAGUCGGCCUGCGCGGAAGAUGUAACGGGGCUAAACCAUGCACCGAAGCUGCGGCAGCGACACUGUGUGUUGUUGGGUAGGGGAGCGUUCUGUAAGCCUGUGAAGGUGUGCUGUGAGGCAUGCUGGAGGUAUCAGAAGUGCGAAUGCUGACAUAAGUAACGAUAAAGCGGGUGAAAAGCCCGCUCGCCGGAAGACCAAGGGUUCCUGUCCAACGUUAAUCGGGGCAGGGUGAGUCGACCCCUAAGGCGAGGCCGAAAGGCGUAGUCGAUGGGAAACAGGUUAAUAUUCCUGUACUUGGUGUUACUGCGAAGGGGGGACGGAGAAGGCUAUGUUGGCCGGGCGACGGUUGUCCCGGUUUAAGCGUGUAGGCUGGUUUUCCAGGCAAAUCCGGAAAAUCAAGGCUGAGGCGUGAUGACGAGGCACUACGGUGCUGAAGCAACAAAUGCCCUGCUUCCAGGAAAAGCCUCUAAGCAUCAGGUAACAUCAAAUCGUACCCCAAACCGACACAGGUGGUCAGGUAGAGAAUACCAAGGCGCUUGAGAGAACUCGGGUGAAGGAACUAGGCAAAAUGGUGCCGUAACUUCGGGAGAAGGCACGCUGAUAUGUAGGUGAAGUCCCUCGCGGAUGGAGCUGAAAUCAGUCGAAGAUACCAGCUGGCUGCAACUGUUUAUUAAAAACACAGCACUGUGCAAACACGAAAGUGGACGUAUACGGUGUGACGCCUGCCCGGUGCCGGAAGGUUAAUUGAUGGGGUCAGCGCAAGCGAAGCUCUUGAUCGAAGCCCCGGUAAACGGCGGCCGUAACUAUAACGGUCCUAAGGUAGCGAAAUUCCUUGUCGGGUAAGUUCCGACCUGCACGAAUGGCGUAAUGAUGGCCAGGCUGUCUCCACCCGAGACUCAGUGAAAUUGAACUCGCUGUGAAGAUGCAGUGUACCCGCGGCAAGACGGAAAGACCCCGUGAACCUUUACUAUAGCUUGACACUGAACAUUGAGCCUUGAUGUGUAGGAUAGGUGGGAGGCUUUGAAGUGUGGACGCCAGUCUGCAUGGAGCCGACCUUGAAAUACCACCCUUUAAUGUUUGAUGUUCUAACGUGGACCCGUGAUCCGGGUUGCGGACAGUGUCUGGUGGGUAGUUUGACUGGGGCGGUCUCCUCCUAAAGAGUAACGGAGGAGCACGAAGGUUGGCUAAUCCUGGUCGGACAUCAGGAGGUUAGUGCAAUGGCAUAAGCCAGCUUGACUGCGAGCGUGACGGCGCGAGCAGGUGCGAAAGCAGGUCAUAGUGAUCCGGUGGUUCUGAAUGGAAGGGCCAUCGCUCAACGGAUAAAAGGUACUCCGGGGAUAACAGGCUGAUACCGCCCAAGAGUUCAUAUCGACGGCGGUGUUUGGCACCUCGAUGUCGGCUCAUCACAUCCUGGGGCUGAAGUAGGUCCCAAGGGUAUGGCUGUUCGCCAUUUAAAGUGGUACGCGAGCUGGGUUUAGAACGUCGUGAGACAGUUCGGUCCCUAUCUGCCGUGGGCGCUGGAGAACUGAGGGGGGCUGCUCCUAGUACGAGAGGACCGGAGUGGACGCAUCACUGGUGUUCGGGUUGUCAUGCCAAUGGCACUGCCCGGUAGCUAAAUGCGGAAGAGAUAAGUGCUGAAAGCAUCUAAGCACGAAACUUGCCCCGAGAUGAGUUCUCCCUGACCCUUUAAGGGUCCUGAAGGAACGUUGAAGACGACGACGUUGAUAGGCCGGGUGUGUAAGCGCAGCGAUGCGUUGAGCUAACCGGUACUAAUGAACCGUGAGGCUUAACCUU
rnacentral:rRNA from 1 species